AAAAUGAAUGUACAUGUCCUCACUGAUGUAUUAAUUGGUGAGGAGAACUGCACCUCACAUCGCAGCUUGCCUGUAAAACUUGACUGACUUUCAAGAAGCCACGAAUUAGAGAUUAGUUGAUACUGCAUUCAUGACUCAUGCUAGGACUUCAGAAAGUGGUCUGAGCACGCUGAAGUUCACCAGGGGCAGAAAGGACAGGUGCUUCUCCCACACACACCCCAGCCCCUGGCCAUGGCCUCCUGAUGCUUCCCGCGAGCCAGCUCAGGUACUCUGCUGAGCACGUGGUACGCUAACGCUCAAAAUAGCAAAAUAGGAAUUUGGCACGCACCUAAGUGCGUGGGUUCUGCUCGGUUAGCAAGCGGAGCUGGUCACCCUGCAGCCAGAUCUGGUAAGGCUGCGAGCUGGGGAAAGGAAGGUCCCGUGUCCCCUUUGCAGCACAGAAGGGAAAUGCAGAGAGAGAGCAAGACCUCCCUCUCAGCAAGCUGCUAGGUCAGGCCAGCCAUAACCCGAAACUUCGCCAUCAGUCAUGUAAACAAGAUACUAGCAGAGAUGACUCAAGUGGCUAUUAAUAGCCUUUCAUAAUAUAUAAGUACUUAUUUUAAGAAACUGAAAAAAAAAAAAAACUUCAAAUGACAGAUUUCUGGAAGCCGCUUACAGCUGAUAGCCACAGGAACUAGAACAGCAGAAACUGAACCUGAAGAUGUAGCUAUUGCCAAGCGCUGGGAAGUGUCGCAGUGCUCCCACCACAACAGUUCAACAGGCUAUCAGACUGUGUCAAAAUGAUCACUUAUCUGUUUUUUAAAUUUAAAAACAUUUUUAAGUUCCAACACACGAAAACAUCACAGGCCAGAUAAGCAUCUUGUUAAAUAAGCCAUCAUAAGGGCUGAAAUACGAAAUUUUCUCUGUGCCUCCAACAAGUAGCUACAAGCAGAAUUAAUAGUACUCCUUGAAAUGAAAAACAAGAGAUAACCAUCAGGUACUACAUGUUUUUUUCAUUUUCAGGAAGUGAAUUUUCAUAAAGGGAAAGGGGUUAAGUACUGCACUGUUUUAGUCUUCUUUGUUAAUCCACCCACAUAAAAAUUAGACCUCCCACACGCACAUUCAUAUACUCCAAAAGCUUUGAUCAUGCCAGAUGUAAAUAUUUCUUCUAGUAGCCUAUUACGUGUCCUCAAACUAUACAAUUGUUCUCUGUUAAACUCUCAGCAAUAUUAUGGAGAGCUGAAAGGAUAUAUUAAGAGCAUACACAGAAGAUUUCAGCGACAACCGUGAUAAAAUAUAGGCAAAAGAGAAAAGCAGAACAGAUUCCUUGCUUAAGAAGCCAUUUUGUAAUUGUUUUUAUAUUGGAAACUGUUAACUGAAGUUAAUUUUAGAACAAAGGGUAAUGCAAUUUGUAUAAAUGUAUACACUGUGUUCAGAACAAAUGCAAAGAGAAACACUACAGGGGAGCUUGGUGCAAUAGUCCUGAGAGGAAGCCUCACAACAAAUAGCGUACCAACAGCGAGGAUAUUUGCAAGCAAAACGUAAAGGAUACAUUGACAUUAAAAUUACAGGAAGUAUUUUAGGUAGACCCGGCAUAUUCUAAUGUGGUAAAAUCUUUUUUUUUUUUCCCUCCACAAAGUGCUGCCUACCUACCUAGGUAUACCCCCUGCUGCAUCACUAUCAGUGCAGUACCUCGUAACACCCUGGUGAAGUACGCAGUUCUGUGCUAAAGGGUGGGACAAUGCAGAGUAACGCAUAUUGCUCUAAGUAAGCUGUAGCUAUUAAGCACGUCUGAGUAGAGAAGACCCUUGCCAACUGACUACAAAACAUCUGAGGAGUACAUGCCAUUUACCAAAUCUACAUGUUUAUGAGCAGAGGAACAAAAAGUAAGAUGGGAACCUCAGCAAUUCAGUCUUCAUGUCUGUACUGAUUGACACCUUAUUAUUAAAUAGUAUGGGGAGAGGCUGUUUUUAAGUAAAGAUGAUUUACAUUUCAUUUUUAUUUUUGUUUAAUUUCACUUAUUAAAAAGGAUGACAUUUGAAAGGAA